rnacentral:sRNA from 1 species
AUCAAACAUUAUCUAUGUGGCCAGCAAUCAUUUUGUUUGGAGACUCAUCCCUGUCCCCAUGGCAACCCAAAUCCAACAACUUCUCCAGGACAAGCAGUUUGAAUUGGCUCUGCAGCUCGCAGAAAUGAAAGAUGAUUCUGACAGUGAAAAGCAGCAACAAAUUCAUCACAUCAAGAACUUGUAUGCCUUCAACCUCUUCUGCCAGAAGCGUUUUGAUGAGUCCAUGCAGGUCUUUGCUAAACUUGGCACAGGUAACAAGUGGUGAGGCCUUUAUAUAAGGAACUAAUGGAGGAGGGGAGCCUGAAAAGUAUGGGGAGAAAUGAUAACAGACUUCUGA